CCCUUAGAUGUCCUGGGCCGCACGCGCGCUACACUGACAUGUUCAAAAAGCCUCCUAGUUCGACAGGAUUUGGGAAAUCUUUGAACGCAUGUCGUGAUAGGGAUAGAUCAUUGCAAUUAUUGAUCUUGAACGAGGAAUUCCUAGUAAACGCGAGUCAUCAGCUCGCAUUGAUUACGUCCCUGCCCUUUGUACACACCGCCCGUCGCACCUACCGAUUGAAUGUUUCGGUGAAGAUUCCGGAUAGGACUUUUUUGAUUUAUUUCAAUUUUGUCUUAAAAGCUAUCUAAACCUCAACAUUUAGAGGAAGGUGAAGUCGUAACA
rnacentral:rRNA from 1 species